rnacentral:rRNA from 1 species
GACGAACGCUGGCGGCGUGCUUAACACAUGCCAGUCGAACGGAAAGGCCCUGCUUUUGUGGGGUGCUCGAGUGGCGAACGGGUGAGUAACACGUGAGUAACCUGCCCUUGAUUUUGGGAUAACUUCAGGAAACUGGGGCUAAUACCGGAUAGGAGCUCCUGCUGCAUGGUGGGGGUUGGAAAGUUUCGGCGGUUGGGGAUGGACUCGCGGCUUAUCAGCUUGUUGGUGGGGUAGUGGCUUACCAAGGCUUUGACGGGUAGCCGGCCUGAGAGGGUGACCGGCCACAUUGGGACUGAGAUACGGCCCAGACUCCUACGGGAGGCAGCAGUGGGGAAUAUUGCACAAUGGGCGGAAGCCUGAUGCAGCAACGCCGCGUGCGGGAUGACGGCCUUCGGGUUGUAAACCGCUUUCGCCUGUGACGAAGCGUGAGUGACGGUAAUGGGUAAAGAAGCACCGGCUAACUACGUG